CAAAAUUCAGAUCUGUUUGAUGAUUCCUGUCUCGCUGUAGCGCUUAGGACUGCCAACUGCUGUUGAAUGGUGAAGACCAAGAAAAAGACAUUAUCCUAAAGUGGGGCCGUGGACAGUGCCUGUGGUGUCCUUUAAGCUCUCAUAACACAGGAUCCUUUUGUCAGCUCGGAGGUUGCCCUGGUUUGGUCUACUUGUACGCAGCUUCCCUCACGUAUGCACCAUACACAUCCCCAGCACAGCGAGGGGAAGCAAGGCACCUGAUGUUUGCUUGUGGUCAGAGAGAGCAUUAAGGCUUUAUUGCUGUAACUGCAAAAGGAGGUAUUUCCUAAAUGUGCUGUGAGGUUGAACCAGCUCUGCUUUUCAAAAUUAAACUCCUGGUGGCUUCUAGGUGUAUGGAGA
rnacentral:lncRNA from 1 species